rnacentral:lncRNA from 1 species
CAAACCUAGACAAAACCUAAAAGACCAACCCUAACCUAGUCUUCUUCUUCAUGAAGAGAGAACAGUAAAAGAACCCAAAACAGACCAUCAACUAGUCGCCCACCACCAUCACCCAGACCCCCUUCCGUCCUUCACCUUCCAUAGCCACCGCCGCCAUCCCCAUCAUCCUUAAUUAUCUCCAUCUAAACCAGCCCCAAACCACUUCACCUCGCCGGAAAACACCACUAUCAACAACCAUCUGCUCUCGCCUCUCUCCCUUAUCCUCACACACUGAGAAAACGCACAAAAGGGGAGAAAAUAAAGGAAAAGCAGGGGUUCUGGAGUUGUUUUUUGAUGGAAAUGGAUAUAAGAUAGUUCUGCACUUUGAGCGCUUUCUUCUUGGUUUUCUUCAGUGUUUCAAAAUCAGAAAAUACAGUCAAAAAAGUUGUUUCAAUCUUUCUAUCUCUACUUUUCAAUUCUAGUUUUGAUUUAAGAUGAAAUUAAAUUGAAAUUCAAUCUUGUUCGUCGUCGCCGCCCGAGGCUCGCCGUGCGUGCUUCAGUUUACGGUUUUGUUCAAAUUCUAUUACCAUUCGAGUUUGCGUUGCUCUAUUGCUGUUCGAAUUGUAUUGUCUGCUCGACUUUUGGUGGCAUUUUAUUUGUUUGCUGAGGUUGGUUUUGAGUAUUUGUGUUGCCGCUCGAGGUUUGCGGGUCUGUCACGAUAUUAUUUUUGGAACUCUGUUCUUUUUUCUUCAAGGUCCAUCUCUUGUUUCCUCUCUCGAAUCUUUAUUUUUUAUCUUUGUGUGGUUACUUGAUUUGAUUAAGCAUGUAGAUGAUUUCACUUAAUUUCUAUUUGUUUGAGCUUUGAUU